GGAAAAACAUAACAGGUUAUCAAGUCAUUAUAUCUAUUUUUAAAAAGGCAAUUACUGGCAAGAGGAUGUUGAAAAAUUAGUUUCAGAUGUCUAGUGCCAAAGAAGUGUGAAAAUUAGUUCACAGUACUUUACAAAUGGUCCUUAGUCUUCCUAGUAAAGAUGCCUAUACUUCAAGUUGAUACCAACACCAUUGCUAAUGCUGCUAUACCAAAUGGAGAAGCAGAACUUAAUGCUACUCUUCAAACCAGUAAGGAGUGCUAAGUUCACUUAAACCUUAGCAGUACAAUUUCAAAUAAUAACUAAUCCUUUAAGCUUCUGCAGUUUUGUUGUAUUUUAUGAAUGAGGCUAGAUGUGAGCUUCAGGUUUAUCAAGCAUUUUGCUUGUGCCAAGUGCUCUUCCAGGGGUUCUGCUGCUGUUGCUGACAUCUACUGCAGCGCUCCUGUUCUAGCCCUAGUGUCCCCCGCUAGCCAUGGGCUCACAAAAAUCGUUCUUUUGGAUGCUUUGGAAAUUGCUUUGCAAGUCCCCCUUCAGCUAAACAAAGCAUUUUUACAUCCUCAGCACAGCUGAAAAACCUUUUGGAAAGCACAACGCUGCCGAAGGGUCCUGAGGAAGGAUAUGACAAUGUUCUGCGAGAUGUGGAAUCUGGUAGACUGCCUGCUUCCAGUGACCUGGGGACCCUGUCAGGUACAGUGAUGAGUUCAGUUUUAUCAAGGUCCAUAGCAAACUUCAGGUAGAUAGAUUAAAAUCUUGGAUCGAAAGCUUUGUCCAUACUGGGAGUUAACUUUUCUGUGUUGUAGUGGGCAGCACAGAAAACUUUAGUUCUGGCUUUAUUUUCUAAUUGUCACUUAAUGUUGAAAUAUUACUAUUUUUCUUCUACACCUGAAAGAGAAGUUUAAUAUGCCAGGGAUGUAGCAUAUAUCUUUGCACUGUUCUUGCGCUCUACUUUUCAGGACAGUUGUCAUCAGCCUAGUCUCAUCCUCUUUCUAGCUGUAAAUCUAAAUGCACUGUAAUUUUAUUGUCAUGGUCUUACAUGCCUUCACUUCUAUUCUGCAGAAUUAGCCACAAGUUUAAAAGUCCCCAAAAACAUGAUAUUCACCUUAUUUCAAUGUAACAUUCUACUGCAUUUUUAUUAUUUUUACUUUUAAUUUUCAUUUGCAGCCCCAAGAGCUAAAACCCCUCACAUUUUAAGUGAAAUAGUUGAGGAUUUAUAAUGUAAAAGUUGUGGUCUCCUGUGCCUGCAGGAGGUGAGACUUUCUCAGAAGUACUAGAAAUUGCUAAAAUGUAGAAAAAUUGAGUUUAGUAAAGUUCUGGCUGGUUUUCUUUAGUAAGAUGAACUGUUAGGCAAUAUGUACAGGGUUGUUAAGCUGGAUGUAGGAGAGUUCAGUUUCAAAAGAGGCUAUAGGGUACAGCUGUGUGCUAACUGAUUAUUCAUUAAAAGCCAAUUCCAGUUUCACUGUUCUGACUGUCCUCAUGAGAGCUACAGGAGAAACAAAUGGGAGAAUACAUUUUUAAAAGCAGAUAUCUGCAACCUGACAUUGGGAAUACAGAUGGUUACACAUGCUGGGCA
ensembl:lncRNA